AGUGAACGCUGGCGGUAGGCCUAACACAUGCAAGUCGAACGGCAGCACAGUAAGCGCUUGCUCUUACGGGUGGCGAGUGGCGGACGGGUGAGGAAUACAUCGGAAUCUACUUUUUCGUGGGGGAUAACGUGGGGAAACUUACGCUAAUACCGCAUACUUUCUACGGCAGAAAUCAGGGGAUCUUGAGAGCUUGCCUGAUUGAAUGAGCCGGUGCCGCAUUAGCUAGUUGGGGGGGUAAGGGCCCACCAAGGCGACGAUCCGUAGCUGGUCUGAGAGGAUGAUCGGCCACACUGGAACUGAGACACGGUCCAGACUCCUACGGGAGGCAGCAGUGGGGAAUCUUGCACAAUGGGCGCAAGCCUGACCGAGCAAUGCCGCGUGAGUGAAGAAGGCCUUCGGAUUGUAAAGCUCUUUUGUUAGGGAAGAAAAGCUGUAGAUGUAUACCUGCACGUUCUGACGGUACCCAAAGAGUAAGCACCGGCUAACUUCGUG
rnacentral:rRNA from 1 species